AGUGAACGCUGGCGGUAGGCCUAACACAUGCAAGUCGAACGGCAGCACAGUAAGAGCUUGCUCUUACGGGUGGCGAGUGGCGGACGGGUGAGGAAUACAUCGGAAUCUACUUUUUCGUGGGGGAUAACGUAGGGAAACUUACGCUAAUACCGCAUACGACCUACGGGUGAAAGCAGGGGAUCUUCGGACCUUGCGCGAUUGAAUGAGCCGAUGUCGGAUUAGCUAGUUGGCGGGGUAAAGGCCCACCAAGGCGACGAUCCGUAGCUGGUCUGAGUGGAUGAUCAGCCACACUGGAACUGAGACACGGUCCAGACUCCUACGGGAGGCAGCAGUGGGGAAUAUUAGACAAUGGGCGCAAGCCUGAUCCAGCCAUACCGCGUGGGUGAAGAAGGCCUUCGGGUUGUAAAGCCCUUUUGUUGGGAAAGAAAAGCAGCAGGUUAAUACCCCGCUGUUCUGACGGUACCCAAAGAAUAAGCACCGGCUAACUUCGUG
rnacentral:rRNA from 1 species